rnacentral:rRNA from 1 species
GACGAACGCUGGCGGCGUGCUUAACACAUGCAAGUCGAACGGAAAGGCCCUGCUUUUGUGGGGUGCUCGAGUGGCGAACGGGUGAGUAACACGUGAGUAACCUGCCCUUGACUUUGGGAUAACUUCAGGAAACUGGGGCUAAUACCGGAUAGGAGCUCCUGCUGCAUGGUGGGGGUUGGAAAGUUUCGGCGGUUGGGGAUGGACUCGCGGCUUAUCAGCUUGUUGGUGGGGUAGUGGCUUACCAAGGCUUUGACGGGUAGCCGGCCUGAGAGGGUCACCGGCCACAUUGGGACUGAGAUACGGCCCAGACUCCUACGGGAGGCAGCAGUGGGGAAUAUUGCACAAUGGGCGGAAGCCUGAUGCAGCAACGCCGCGUGCGGGAUGAUGGCCUUCGGGUUGUAAACCGCUUUCGCCUGUGACGAAGCGUGAGUGACGGUAAUGGGUAAAGAAGCACCGGCUAACUACGUG